rnacentral:lncRNA from 1 species
UGAACACUGAUUAGCAGACAAAUAUCUGUGCACAGGGGCAAUGCGGGGCCCCUCAUUGACACAGAACAAGCCUCUGAGGGCGGACCUCCUGAAUAUAUCAGUAUAGGUUAGGGCAGUAUAAUCUGGAGUUCACUGUGGGGGCUCAGCACCUAGAACAGGAAAAAAAAAAAAACCCUGAGGCUGGACUGGUCAUUGGAAUUGGUGUCAGGCAAGAGGGCCCUGCUAUGAGGAGAGAAGAGCUGGGGGCCAAGGACUGGAGCAGGAAGGGACCCAGUCAAGGCCAACACUGACCCCAGAGGAUGAGCCCCUGGGAGGAAUCGUCUCUUCAUGAUGUAGACUCCCACGCCCAAGUUUUGCCUGUAAAACUAGAACAGGUUCCAUCCAUGCUGAACUGCCCGCCCUUUCUCAUCUUGGUUUCCCUCUGCAGUGACUCACUGGUCUGAGCACGUUUCUCCCCACAUCAGGGAUGGGAAGCACGGAGAAGACCGUGGUCCAGCGCCCUCUGAAGUCAUUGGCGACCGCGAUGGAAGUAGUUGGGGGUCGACAGUAAAGUUGGAGACUGAAAUUAUUUGAGCUCUUAAAAUGGGAUAAUAAGGUAACUUUCCUCCUCCUGGUAUGAGCUCAUUUAAUUGUAAAGAUCUUAAUAAAUUCAGCCUGAUUAACUCCAACCUUGUGGGGGAAGGUUAUUCAGUGUUGUGGAAUUUAUUUUAAACAGAAGCAAAAAAACAAAUUGGAGCGAGAAGAAAAAAUCUUUAGUGCAGGAUAAGGUGGGAGGGAGGUGUGUGUGCAGGAAGCCACGAAUGGGGAGCACUCACUGAGCCUCCUCCAGAAACCACACCA